UACGUAGGUGGCGAGCGUUGUCCGGAAUUACUGGGUGUAAAGGGAGCGUAGGCGGGAGUGCAAGUUGAAUGUAUAAACUAUCGGCUCAACUGAUAGAAGCGUUCAAAACUGCACUUCUUGAGUGAAGUAGAGGCAGGCGGAAUUCCUAGUGUAGCGGUGAAAUGCGUAGAUAUUAGGAGGAACACCAGUGGCGAAGGCGGCCUGCUGGGCUUUAACUGACGCUGAGGCUCGAAAGCGUGGGUAGCAAACAGG
rnacentral:rRNA from 1 species